rnacentral:rRNA from 1 species
UACGUAGGGUGCGAGCGUUAAUCGGAAUUACUGGGCGUAAAGCGUGCGCAGGCGGCGCGUUAAGACAGGUGUGAAAGCCCCCGAGCUUAACUUGGGAAUUGCGCUUGUGACUGGCGUGCUGGAGUGUGGCAGAGGGAGGUGGAAUUCCACGUGUAGCAGUGAAAUGCGUAGAUAUGUGGAGGAACACCGAUGGCGAAGGCAGCCCCCUGGGUUAACACUGACGCUCAUGCACGAAAGCGUGGGGAGCAAACAGG